AGCCGUUCGGGCGGCUAUAAACAGACCUCAGGCCCGAAGCGUGGCGGCACCUGCCGCCGGUGGUA
rnacentral:ribozyme from 19 species